CUUUCUCCCUGGCCGCGGCGCUCGGCGGACGCGGGAUCCGCUGAGAUUCCGUCUCAACGAAUUCCGGGCGGAGAGGCGGGAGUCCUGCGUGUCCCGCCGCGCCGCGGGUCCCAGCGUCCCCAGGAGUCUGGCAUCCCCGGGAGGCCUAGCCCAAGGGCAGGAGAGUCAGCGGGGCCCUACUGAAAGUGCACGACCCGGGCAGCCGGCGGCCGAACAGCUCCGGGAGCAGGCGAGCGGUAUCCGGGAAGCUCAAAGGCCGCCCCCCGGACGCCCCAGGCCCCAGCGCUGGGAUUGUACCUACCUGCGGAAUGUCCUCUUCUGCAUGAGUCCGCGUCGAGCUGGGCAGGGUCCGAGAGCUGCCGGGCUGAGGGCUCCGGCCUGCAUGUGCUCUCCGCGGCAAUCUGUGUCCAGAAAAUGCUCGGAGUUCUCCGGACACAGCAGCCUCUAGAGGCGGUCUUGGGGAAUUGGGAGGCGGGAAGAAGGCCACAGUCUCCCCUGGGGUCCUGCUGUGUGAUCUGCGCCGGCCGGGAAGCAUUGAUCUUGAGUCCAAAAGAGGAGAGAAAUCGCACCCCGAGAAGAAGGCGCGAGCUCGGUGGCUCCAGUCCUGCGGGAGCAGAGGGGACAGCAGACCUGCCCAGGUAGAGGGAGACGACUUCUGAGGUGCUGGAGGCUAUUUCUGGAUUUUGCGCGGCCUGGCGCUGGGUGCCACAGCCGGUGAAUGCGGGAGACCUGCAGCAGACCCGGCGCUGCCGCC
rnacentral:lncRNA from 1 species